rnacentral:rRNA from 1 species
UACGGGGGGGGCAAGCGUUGUUCGGAAUUACUGGGCGUAAAGGGCGCGUAGGCGGCCUGCUAAGUCGGACGUGAAAUCCCUCGGCUCAACCGGGGAACUGCGUCUGAUACUGGAGGGCUUGAGUUUGGGAGAGGGAUGCGGAAUUCCAGGUGUAGCGGUGAAAUGCGUAGAUAUCUGGAGGAACACCGGUGGCGAAGGCGGCAUCCUGGACCAACACUGACGCUGAGGAGCGAAAGCCAGGGGAGCAAACGGG